UACGAAGGGGGGCUAGCGUUGCUCGGAAUCACUGGGCGUAAAGCGCACGUAGGCGGCUUUUUAAGUCAGAGGUGAAAUCCUGGAGCUCAACUCCAGAACUGCCUUUGAUACUGAGAGGCUUGAGUCCGGGAGAGGUGAGUGGAACUGCGAGUGUAGAGGUGAAAUUCGUAGAUAUUCGCAAGAACACCAGUGGCGAAGGCGGCUCACUGGCCCGGUACUGACGCUGAGGUGCGAAAGCGUGGGGAGCAAACAGG
rnacentral:rRNA from 1 species